UACGUAGGGUGCAAGCGUUGUCCGGAAUUAUUGGGCGUAAAGAGCUCGUAGGCGGUCUGUCGCGUCUGCUGUGAAAACUCGGGGCUUAACCCCGGGCCUGCAGUGGGUACGGGCAGACUAGAGUCCGGAAGAGGAGAAUGGAAUUCCUGGUGUAGCGGUGAAAUGCGCAGAUAUCAGGAAGAACACCCGUGGCUAAGGCGGUUCUCUAGUACGGUACUGACGCUGAGACGCGAAAGCGUGGGGAGCGAACAGG
rnacentral:rRNA from 1 species